CUGAUCAGCACGCCGCGUGAGGGAUGAAGGCCUUCGGGUUGUAAACCUCUUUCGCCAGGGACGAAGCGCACGUGACGGUACCUGGAGAAGAAGCACCGGCCAACUACGUGCCAGCAGCCGCGGUAAUACGUAGGGUGCGAGCGUUGUCCGGAAUUACUGGGCGUAAAGAGUUCGUAGGCGGUUUGUCGCGUCGGUCGUGAAAACUUGCGGCUUAACUUCAGGCGUGCGGGCUAUACGGGCAGACUUGAGUACUGCAGGGGAGACUGGAAUUCCUGGUGUAGCGAUGAAAUGCCCUGAGAUCCAGAGGAAUACCUAUGGCUAAGGCGGAUCUCUGGUGAGGAACUGACUCUGAUGAACCAAGGCGUGCGUAGCCGACAGGAUUAGAUGCCAUGGUACUCCAUGCCAUACCCGGUGGGUCCUAGGUGUGGGUUCCUUCACCGGUUGACGGACGGAUCGCUAGCCUUCAGCGUCCCUAGCGCGGGAAGCACGGCCCCGGGGCUAAAAUUAACACAAGUUGAAGGCAC
rnacentral:rRNA from 1 species